CGUCGAAGGUGGGGCUGAUGACUGGGGUGAAGUCGUAACAAGGUAUCCGUACCGGAAGGUGCGGAUGGAUCACCUCCUAACAGGGAGACAACACAAUGAUUUUGAUGCCUGAGUAUUUUAUUCUUAGGCCGAAAUCCUGUCACCUUAGGUCGAUCGGUACCUCAGAUUUGAAAUCAAGAUGAUGCAGCAAUGUGUUGUGCUUGAUGGAGAUUUUCAGUUCCUAAACUUUGUCUAGGUCACACCCCAAAAGGGAUGAGACUCCUGGGCCAUUAGCUCAGGUGGUUAGAGCGCACCCCUGAUAAGGGUGAGGUCCCUGGUUCAAGUCCAGGAUGGCCCAUUCGGUGUUGGGGGUUUAGCUCAGUUGGUAGAGCGCCUGCUUUGCAAGCAGGAUGUCAGGAGUUCGAGUCUCCUAACCUCCACUGACCGAACUUUAUCCCCAUCUCCACGUUAUGGAGUUGAGCUCGAUUGGAGUGUGAUUUAGAUGUGUCCGCUGGAUGACCCCAGCUUCCUGUCAUUCCAAGUUUUUAAGUAAAAAGCUUUGAUUUGGUUGAUAAGAUGCUGGGCUCGGAUCAAAUUAUCAAGCAAUUGAUGAUUUGAUUUGAAGUUCUAGCAGAACCUUGACAACUGCAUAGGUGAAGUCUGGAAAAACAAAGCAUCUUACAGAUGCAUUGUUUUGAGUCUGAUCUUCUGAAAGGAAGAUUAGAAUCAGAACAAUGAAAAUUCUUUUGAGCAAGAGCCGAGACUCUUGAAUGUUCUUUGAUUCGUGUCGAGCGAAUCAGAGUUUGAUCUUGUUUUUAGCGAUAAAAACUUGAGAAUCUGCUUUCAACGGCGGUAAGCGUUCAAGAGGUUAAUUGGUCAAGCUACAAAGGGCUCA
rnacentral:misc_RNA from 1 species